rnacentral:tRNA from 1 species
GCCCUGGUAGUGUAGUGGUCCAGCAUCCGGGCCUGUCGAGUCCGUGACCCGGGUUCAAAUCCCGGCCAGGGCG